rnacentral:lncRNA from 1 species
GUUCUAAACUUGCCUCUGCAUUCAUUUUCUUAGUUUGUAGUUUCUUCUUUCUUAUUCUUUUGUAUGAUAUCGGGAUGAAACUGUUGGCAAUAUGGCUAAUCAAUGGUUGAUUAUAUCUCACUUUGUAUUAGUUUUCCAUGAUGGUGACUAAACCUUUAUUAUUAGGCUGAAGCUAGUUUUACUUAUUUAAAUGAUCUUUUGAUUCAAUAUGACAUUCUUCAUCUCUCUUGUCUACAGGAAAAAUAUAUAUAGCAGCAGCUCUAUAUAAAUAAUAGAACCUCCUCCGAAGAUCAGUCACAAAGUGAACCAACAAAGGUAUGCUUCUCUUCCUGUCAACCCAAUACUUUCAUAUUUGCA